rnacentral:rRNA from 1 species
CCUACGGGGGGCAGCAGUGAGGAAUAUUGGUCAAUGGGCGAGAGCCUGAACCAGCCAAGUCGCGUGAAGGAUGACGGCCCUACGGGUUGUAAACUUCUUUUGUCAGGGAGCAAUUGAGUCCACGUGUGGGCUUAGCGAGAGUACCUGAAGAAAAAGCAUCGGCUAACUCCGUGCCAGCAGCCGCGGUAAUACGGAGGAUGCGAGCGUUAUCCGGAAUGACUGGGCGUAAAGGGAGUGUAGGCGGCAUAUUAAGUUAUGUGUGAAAGCCCGCGGCUCAACCGCGGAAUUGCACAUAAAACUGGUAAGCUGGAGUGCAGGAGAGGUAAGUGGAAUUCCCGGUGUAGCGGUGGAAUGCGUAGAUAUCGGGAGGAACACCAGAGGCGAAGGCGACUUACUGGACUGUAACUGACGCUGAGGCUCGAAAGCGUGGGGAGCAAACAGGAUUAGAUACCCUGGUAGUC